rnacentral:lncRNA from 1 species
GUUUAAUCAGCCAAAAAGACGAUGGUGGAAAUUGAAAGGAGGAUAAAGAGUAGUGUAGGUCCAAGUGUCUUGACCUUCAAAGACUUUUGCCACAUCAUACCUAUUCGAAGGAGAUGGGGAUAGGAGUUUAGCACCAAGCUAUCGUAAGGGUAUAGCAUUGAGCUAUGAUAGAAAUCCAAGUUACAGCUACUCAUACGGUAGAACUAUCAGUAGAGUAAAACUAAGAUAAGAUAAAAAGAUACAUUGGAUUGAUUGUCGAAGGAUCUCUUCAUAUAAUAUAAUUUUAUUUAUUUAUACUAAAACAGAAUAACUAUCCUAAAACACGAGCAUUGCCCACUCUAAUAGUUGUUAUCCAUGUCUAGCCUCUAAAUCUGGUGGUUCUAGUAAUUAACAUCGGUUGCUUUUUCACUUGCAUGACCAUCACAAUGCACUUAGCAUUAUUGCUGGACUGAUAUUCAAAGUUGUUAUGACAAUCAAUGAUUAAGGUGAUGUGGUAUGACUAGAUUCAUCCAACUCAUCAUCUAUGUGCUGACUCGGGCGCUCUCAAA